UAGAGUUUGAUCCUGGCUCAGAACGAACGCUGGCGGCAGGCUUAACACAUGCAAGUCGAACGCGUGUAGCAAUACACGAGUGGCGCACGGGUGAGUAACGCGUGGAUAUCUGCCUUUUGGUUCGGAAUAACCCCGGGAAACUAGGGCUAAUACCGGAUGGUUCCUUCGGGAUAAAGAUUUAUCGCCAAAAGAUGAGUCCGCGUACGAUUAGCUAGUUGGUGAGGUAAUGGCUCACCAAGGCGACGAUCGUUAGCUGGUCUGAGAGGACGAUCAGCCACACUGGGACUGAGACACGGCCCAGACUCCUACGGGAGGCAGCAGUGGGGAAUAUUGGACAAUGGGGGCAACCCUGAUCCAGCCAUGCCGCGUGAGUGAUGAAGGCCUUCGGGUUGUAAAGCUCUUUUGGCGGGGACGAUGAUGACGGUACCCGCAGAAUAAGCCCCGGCUAACUUCGUGCCAGCAGCCCCGGUCAA
rnacentral:rRNA from 1 species